rnacentral:rRNA from 1 species
AAGAAAUCAACCGAGAUUCCCUCAGUAGCGGCGAGCGAACGGGGAUUAGCCCUUAAGCAUCUUGGAAGUUAGUGGAACGGUCCUGGAAAGGCCGGCGAUACAGGGUGAUAGCCCCGUACACGAAAACAACCUUGAUGUGAAAUCGAGUAGGGCGGGACACGUGACAUCCUGUCUGAAUAUGGGGGGACCAUCCUCCAAGGCUAAAUACUCCUGACUGACCGAUAGUGAACCAGUACCGUGAGGGAAAGGCGAAAA